UACAGAGGGUGCGAGCGUUAAUCGGAAUUACUGGCGUAAAGCGCGCGUAGGCGGCUUUGCAAGUCGAGUGUGAAAUCCCCAGGCUUAACCUGGGAACUGCAUUCGAGACUGCAUGGCUAGAGUAUGGGAGAGGGAAGUGGAAUUCAGGUGUAGCGGUGAAAUGCGUAGAUAUCUGAAGGAACAUCAGUGGCGAAAGCGACUUCCUGGACCAAUACUGACGCUCAUGUGCGAAAGCGUGGGGAGCAAACAGGG
rnacentral:rRNA from 1 species